rnacentral:rRNA from 1 species
GUGCCAGCAGCCGCGGUGAUACGGAGGGUGCAAGCGUUAUCCGGAUUUAUUGGGUUUAAAGGGUGCGCAGGCGGAAUGAUAAGUCAGUGGUGAAAUCCUACGGCUCAACUGUAGAACUGCCAUUGAUACUGUUGUUCUUGAGUACAGCUGAAGUGGGCGGAAUGUAUCAUGUAGCGGUGAAGUGCAUAGAUAUGAUACAGAACACCGAUAGCGAAAGCAGCUCACUAAACUGAAACUGACGCUCAGGCACGAAAGCGUGGGGAGCAAACAGGAUUAGAUACCCUGGUAGUCCACGCUGUAAACGAUGAUCACUCGUUGUUGGUGAUACACAGUCAGCGACUGAACGAAAGCAUUAAGUGAUCCACCUGGGAAGUACGAUCGCAAGGUUGAAACUCAAAGGAAUUGACGGGGGCCCGCACAAGCGGAGGAGCAUGUGGUUUAAUUCGAUGAUACGCGAGGAACCUUACCUGGGCUUGAAUGCAGGACGACCGUUCCCGAAAGGGGACUUUCCUUCGGGACGUCCUACAAGGUGCUGCAUGGUUGUCGUCAGCUCGUGCCGUGAGGUGUCGGGUUAAGUCCCAUAACGAGCGCAACCCUUAUUCUUAGUUGCCAUCAGGUCAUGCUGGGGACUCUAAGGAAACUGCCUACGCAAGUAGUGAGGAAGGUGGGGAUGACGUCAAAUCAGCACGGCCCUUAUGUCCAGGGCUACACACGUGCUACAAUGGCCGGUACAGAGGGUCGCUACAUGGUGACAUGAUGCUAAUCUCGAAAACCGGUCUCAGUUCGGAUCGAAGUCUGCAACUCGACUUCGUGAAGUUGGAUUCGCUAGUAAUCGCAUAUCAGCAAUGGUGCGGUGAAUACGUUCCCGGGCCUUGUACACACCGCCCGUCAAGCCAUGGAAGCUGGGGGUACCUGAAGUCCGUGACCGCAAGGAGCGGCCUAGGGUAAAACUAGUAACUGGGGUGAAGUCGUAACAGGGUAACCG